rnacentral:rRNA from 1 species
GAUGAACGCUGGCGGCGUGCCUAAUACAUGCAAGUCGAGCGAACGGACGAGAAGCUUGCUUCUCUGAUGUUAGCGGCGGACGGGUGAGUAACACGUGGAUAACCUACCUAUAAGACUGGGAUAACUUCGGGAAACCGGAGCUAAUACCGGAUAAUAUUUUGAACCGCAUGGUUCAAAAGUGAAAGACGGUCUUGCUGUCACUUAUAGAUGGAUCCGCGCUGCAUUAGCUAGUUGGUAAGGUAACGGCUUACCAAGGCAACGAUGCAUAGCCGACCUGAGAGAGUGAUCGGCCACACUGGAACUGAGACACGGUCCAGACGCCUACGGGAGGCAGCAGUAGGGAAUCUUCCGCAAUGGGCGAAAGCCUGACGGAGCAACGCCGCGUGAGUGAUGACGGUCUUCGGAUCGUAAAACUCUGUUAUUAGGGAAGAACAUAUGUGUAAGUAACUGUGCACAUCUUGACGGUACCUAAUCAGAAAGCCACGGCUAACUACGUG